UACAGAGGUCUCAAGCGUUGUUCGGAUUCAUUGGGCGUAAAGGGUGCGUAGGUGGCGCGCUAAGUCAGGUGUGAAAUCUCGGGGCUUAACUCCGAAACUGCAUUUGAUACUGGCGUGCUUGAGGACUGGAGAGGAGGCUGGAAUUCAUGGUGUAGCAGUGAAAUGCGUAGAGAUCAUGAGGAAGACCAGUGGCGAAGGCGGGUCUCUGGACAGUUCCUGACACUGAGGCACGAAGGCCAGGGGAGCAAACGGG
rnacentral:rRNA from 1 species